CUACGGGGUGCUGCAGUGAGGAAUAUUGCACAAUGGGGGGAACCCUGAUGCAGCAACGCCGCGUGGAGGAUGACGCAUUUCGGUGUGUAAACUCCUUUUAUAUGUCAAGAAAAUGACGGUAGCAUAUGAAUAAGCACCGGCUAACUCCGUGCCAGCAGCGCGCGGUAAUACGGGGGGUGCAAGCGUUACUCGGAAUCACUGGGCGUAAAGGACGCGUAGGCGGGCUUGUAAGUCAGGUGUGAAAUCCUACAGCUUAACUGUAGAACUGCACUUGAAACUACGAGCCUAGAGUAUGGGAGGGGGAGAUGGAAUUAGUGGUGUAGGGGUAAAAUCCGUAGAUAUCACUAGGAAUACCUAAAGCGAAGGCGAUCUCCUGGAACAUAACUGACGCUAAGGCGUGAAAGCGUGGGGAGCAAACAGGAUUAGAUACCCGAGUAGUC
rnacentral:rRNA from 1 species